AACGAACGCUGGCGGCAUGCCUAACACAUGCAAGUCGAACGAUAACUUCGGGGUUAGUGGCGCACGGGUGCGUAACGCGUGGGAACCUGCCCUUAGGUUCGGAAUAACUCAGAGAAAUUUGAGCUAAUACCGGAUAAUGUCUUAGGACAAAAGAUUUAUCGCCGUUGGAUGGGGCCGGGUAAGAUUAGCUAGUUGGUGGGGUAAAGGCCUACCAAGGCGACGAUGCAUAGCUGGUCUGAGAGGAUGAUCAGCCACACUGGGACUGAGACACGGCCCAGACUCCUACGGGAGGCAGCAGUGGGGAAUAUUGGACAAUGGGCGAAAGCCUGAUCCAGCAAUGCCGCGUGAGUGAUGAAGGCCUUAGGGUUGUAAAGCUCUUUUACCCGGGAUGAUAAUGACAGUACCGGGAGAAUAAGCCCCGGCUAACUCCGUG
rnacentral:rRNA from 1 species